rnacentral:rRNA from 1 species
AGGACUAACGCUGGCGGCGUGCCUAACACAUGCAAGUCGAACGAGGUAGCAAUACCUAGUGGCAGACGGGUGAGUAACGCGUGGUCAACCUACCUCUUAGUGGGGGAUAACUAGCCGAAAGGUUAGCUAAUACCGCAUACGAUCGUCGCGAGGCAUCUCGUGACGAUGAAAGGAGCAAUUCGCUAAGAGAGGGGACUGCGUCCCAUUAGUUAGUUGGUGGGGUAAUGGCCCACCAAGACUCCGAUGGGUAGCUGGCUUGAGAGAGCGACCAGCCACACUGGAACUGAGACACGGUCCAGACUCCUACGGGAGGCAGCAGUGAGGAAUUUUCCGCAAUGGGCGCAAGCCUGACGGAGCGACGCCGCGUGUGGGAAGAAGGCCUUCGGGUCGUAAACCACUGUCGAAGGGGACGAUAUUGACGGUACCUUGGAGGAAGCCCGGCUAACUACGCGCCAGCAGCCGC